CCUACGGGCGGCAGCAGUGAGGAAUAUUGGUCCAUGGGCUUACGCCUGAACCAGCCAAGUCGCGUGAGGGAAGACUGCCCUAUGGGUUGUAAACCUCUUUUGUCAGGGAGCAAUUGGCGCUACGUGUAGCGUUAUCGAGAGUACCUGAAGAAAAAGCAUCGGCUAACUCCGUGCCAGCAGCCGCGGUAAUACGGAGGAUGCGAGCGUUAUCCGGAUUUAUUGGGUUUAAAGGGUGCGUAGGCGGAAUGCCAAGUCAGCGGUAAAAUCGCGGGGCUCAACCUCGCUCCGCCGUUGAAACUGGCGGUCUUGAGUGGGCGAGAAGUAUGCGGAAUGCGUGGUGUAGCGGUGAAAUGCAUAGAUAUCACGCAGAACGCCGAUUGCGAAGGCAGCAUACCGGCGCCCAACUGACGCUGAGGCACGAAAGCGUGGGUAUCGAACAGGAUUAGAUACCCCUGUAGUC
rnacentral:rRNA from 1 species